rnacentral:rRNA from 1 species
GACGAACGCUGGCGGCGUGCUUAACACAUGCAAGUCGAACGGAAAGGCCCUGCUUUUGUGGGGUGCUCGAGUGGCGAACGGGUGAGUAACACGUGAGUAACCUGCCCUUGACUUUGGGAUAACUUCAGGAAACUGGGGCUAAUACCGGAUAGGAGCUCCUGCUGCAUGGUGGGGGUUGGAAAGUUUCGGCGGUUGGGGAUGGACUCGCGGCUUAUCAGCUUGUUGGUGGGGUAGUGGCUUACCAAGGCUUUGACGGGUAGCCGGCCUGAGAGGGUGACCGGCCACAUAGGGACUGAGAUACGGCCCAGACUCCUACGGGAGGCAGCAGUGGGGAAUAUUGCACAAUGGGCGGAAGCCUGAUGCAGCAACGCCGCGUGCGGGAUGACGGCCUUCGGGUGGUAAACCGCUUUCGCCUGUGACGAAGCGUGAGUGACGGUAAUGGGUAAAGAAGCACCGGCUAACUACGU